rnacentral:misc_RNA from 1 species
AAGUCGUAACAAGGUUUCCGUAGGUGAACCUGCGGAAGGAUCAUUACCGAGUUAGGGUACUCUUCGUGCCCGACCUCCAACCCUUUGUCUACCUGACCAGAUGUUGCUUCGGCAGGCCCGCCGCCCCGCGAGGGGUAGCCGCCGGGGGUCCUUACCGGCCCCGGGUCCGUGCCUGUCGAUGGCCCUUCUAAAACUCUUGCUUAAACGUGUCGUCUGAGUAAAACAAACAAAAUAAAAACAAAACUUUCAACAACGGAUCUCUUGGUUCUG